rnacentral:lncRNA from 1 species
GACCUUCCUUGGAUGUAUGUGCUCAAGAUGAGAGAAGCAAAAGGAUACUGCCUCUGACAGUUUGCAAGAUGCAUGUUCUCCACUGUCAGGGUAGAAAUUACACCCUUACUGGUAGGGACAGCUGUACUCUGCCUGCCUCAGCUGAGAAAGCUUGUGGUGCCUGCCCACUGUGGGGAAAAUGUGAUGCUGAGAGCAGCAAAUGUGUCUGCCGAGAAGCAUCGGAGUGCGAGGAAGAAGGGUUUAGCAUUUGUGUGGAAGUGAACGGCAAGGAGCAGACGAUGUCUGAGUGUGAGGCGGGCGCUCUGAGAUGCAGAGGGCAGAGCAUCUCUGUCACCAGCAUAAGGCCUUGUGCUGCGGAAACCCAGUAGGCUCCUGGAGGCCCUGGUCAGCUUGCUUGGAAUCCAGCAGGCAGCUGGGGCUGAGUGAAAACAUCUGCACAACUGGGCACUGGACAGCUUUUCCUUCUUCUCCAGUGUCUACCUUCCUCCUCAACUCCCAGCCAUCUGUAUAAACACAAUCCUUUGUUCUCCCAAAUCUGAAUCGAAUUACUCUUUUGCCUCCUUUUUAAUGUCAGUAAGGAUAUGAGCCUUUGCACAGGCUGGCUGCGUGUUCUUGAAAUAGGUGUUACCUUCUCUGGGCCUUGGUUUUUUAAAAUCUGUAAAAUUAGAGGAUUGCACUAGAGAAACUUGAAUGCUCCAUUCAGGCCUAUCAUUUUAUUAAGUAUGAUUGACACAGCCCAUGGGCCAGAACACACUCUACAAAAUGACUAGGAUAACAGAAAGAACGUGAUCUCCUGAUUAGAGAGGGUGGUUUUCCUCAAUGGAACCAAAUAUAAAGAGGACUUGAACAAAAAUGACAGAUACAAACUAUUUCUAUCCUGAGUAGUAAUCUCACACUUCAUCCUAUAGAGUCAACCACCACAGAUAGGAAUUCCUUAUUCUUUUUUUAAUUUUUUUAAGACAGAGUCUCACUUUGUUGCCCAGGCUGGAGCGCAGUGGGGUGAUCUCAUCUCCCUGCAACCUCCGCCUCCUGGGUUCAAGCGAUUCUUGUGCCUCAGCUUCCCAAGCAGCUGGGAUUACAGGUGCCCGCCACCACGCCCAGCUAAUUUUUGCAUUUUUAGUAGAGAUGGGGUUUCACCAUGUUGGCCACGCUCGUCUCCAACUCCUGACCUCAGGUAAUCCGCCUGCCUUGGCCUCCCAAAGUGCUGGGAUUACAGACAUGAACCACCACGCCUGGCUGGAAUACUUACUCUUGUCGGGAGAUUGAACCACUAAAAUGUUAGAGCAGAAUUCAUUAUGCUGUGGUCACAGGGGUGUCUUGUCUGAGAACAAAUACAAUUCAGUCUUCUCUUUGGGGUUUUAGUAUGUGUCAAACAUAGGACUGGAAGUUUGCCCCUGUUCUUUUUUCUUUUGAAAGAACAUCAGUUCAUGCCUGAGGCAUGAGUGACUGUGCAUUUGAGAAUAGUUUUCCCUAUUCUGUGGAUACAGUCCCAGAGUUUUCAGGGAGUACACAGGUAGAUUAGUUUGAAGCAUUGACCUUUUAUUUAUUCCUUAUUUCUCUUUCAUCAAAACAAAACAGCAGCUGUGGGAGGAGAAAUGAGAGGGCUUAAAUGAAAUUUAAAAUAAGCUAUAUUAUACAAAUACUAUCUCUGUAUUGUUCUGACCCUGGUAAAUAUAUUUCAAAACUUCAGAUGACAAGGAUUAGAACACUCAUUAAAGAUGCU